rnacentral:rRNA from 1 species
AUGUCGUGUGGUGGAAAGCUUUUGCGGUGUGGGAUGGGCCCGCGGCCUAUCAGCUUGUUGGUGGGGUGAUGGCCUACCAAGGCGACGACGGGUAGCCGGCCUGAGAGGGUGUCCGGCCACACUGGGACUGAGAUACGGCCCAGACUCCUACGGGAGGCAGCAGUGGGGAAUAUUGCACAAUGGGCGCAAGCCUGAUGCAGCGACGCCGCGUGAGGGAUGACGGCCUUCGGGUUGUAAACCUCUUUCUAUAGGGACGAAGCGCAAGUGACGGUACCUAUAGAAGAAGCACCGGCCAACUACGUGCCAGCAGCCGCGGU